CACGUAGGGCGCGAGCGUUGUCCGGAAUUAUUGGGCGUAAAGAGCUCGUAGGCGGUGUGUCGCGUCGGUCGUGAAAACUUGGGGCUUAACCCUGAGCUUGCGGUCGAUACGGGCAUCACUGGAGUUCGGCAGGGGAGACUGGAAUUCCUGGUGUAGCGGUGAAAUGCGCAGAUAUCAGGAGGAACACCGGUGGCGAAGGCGGGUCUCUGGGCCGAUACUGACGCUGAGGAGCGAAAGCGUGGGGAGCGAACAGG
rnacentral:rRNA from 1 species